ACGGGUGAGUAACACGUGGGUAACCUGCCUGUAAGACUAGGAUAACUCCGGGAAACCGGGGCUAAUACUGGAUAACUUUUCUCUCCGCAUGGAGAGAGAUUGAAAGAUGGCUUCGGCUAUCACUUACAGAUGGACCCGCGGCGCAUUAGCUAGUUGGUGAGGUAACGGCUCACCAAGGCAACGAUGCGUAGCCGACCUGAGAGGGUGAUCGGCCACAUUGGGACUGAGACACGGCCCAAACUCCUACGGGAGGCAGCAGUAGGGAAUCUUCCGCAAUGGACGAAAGUCUGACGGAGCAACGCCGCGUGAGUGAAGAAGGUCUUCGGAUCGUAAAACUCUGUUGUUAGGGAAGAACAAGUAUCGUUCGAAUAGGGCGGUACCUUGACGGUACCUAACCAGAAAGCCACGGCUAACUACGUGCCAGCAGCCGCGGUAAUACGUAGGUGGCAAGCGUUGUCCGGAAUUAUUGGGCGUAAAGCGCGCGCAGGCGGUCUUUUAAGUCUGAUGUGAAAGCCCACGGCUCAACCGUGGAGGGUCAUUGGAAACUGGAAGACUUGAGUGCAGAAGAGGAGAGUGGAAUUC
rnacentral:rRNA from 1 species